rnacentral:lncRNA from 1 species
CUUUUAUCUGGAGUUAUUUAAUUUUAAAAUCAGAAAUUGUUUUUUACUGCUCAGUUGGUAAUUCAACAUUUAAUGUGAUUAUUGACAAAUAGCAAUUUUUGCAUUUGUAUAUGGAGUCCUUAGAGUUGAGGAAGACAUUUUCUAGAUUUUGGUUUUUAUAAACUUUUCGAGGUUGAUCUUGGCAUGUUGUUUUGCAGAGUAAGUGGCUGAAUAUGUAAUAAUUGUGUUUGUAUUUAGCUUGUAUUAAAAACACACUGUAAUACCAAUAAAACUAACAAUUUUUCCUGUAUUGUUUUAUACUCUAUUAGUUUAUGUUUAUGGACAUAAGAUUAAUUUAUUCAAACAAGCACUUCUAAACUGCAUGCUUAUGUAACCCUUUGAAGAAUUUAAAGCAAAAAAGGAAAUUGCAGAAAAAAAGUUUAAGGGAUGAUGGGUUAGAAUUUAAGUGAUUACCAAAGUAAUCAAAAACAGUCUUUCCUGAUGGCAUAUUUUUCCCUAUGUAGAUACUUUAAUUUUAUUUAUAUUUAUUUGUAGAAUUUUAUUAAACGUAUUAUAUUUAUUUAAUUAAUUAUUUUAUCUCCCUCUGGCUCUGUUGCCCAGGCUGGAGUGUAGUGGCGUGAUCAUAGCUUACUGUAACUCAUGGGCUCAAGUGAUCCUCCCACCUCAGCCUUCUGGGUAGCUGAGAUUACAGGAGCAUGCCACCACGUACAGAGGCUGUUUCUUCUUAAAGCUUUCAAGUGGUGUAUAAGUCCCUUUAUGCUGCCGUAAAGGAAUAUCCAAGACUGGGGACAUGGAUGAAUCUAGAGAACAUCAUUCUCAGCAAACUGACACAAGAACAGAAAAUGAAACACCGCAUAUUCUCACUCAUAGGCGGGUGAUGAAAAAUGAGAACACAUGGACACAGAGAGGGGAGUACUAAACACUGGGGU